AAGGACAAUCUUCGACCACCUUGACAAAACCUACCUACAAAUUAAUUCCCACCUUUUACUUACAGGUUGAUAGCACUGACGCUUUUCUCGACAACCAACUCGAUGGACAAACUUAUGGACUACACUGACGCCAACUACAUCCCAAUCCUGGACGGGGACAUGAUACUAUGGGAACAUUACGGAUAUCUGACUCACUUUACUAAUAUAUCACUUCACAUAUGAGAAAGCUACUAGACGCGGACAUAGCACACAUCGAAACACUAUUACGAACCGUCGACAUUCACCAUCGACAAGCACGAAGCCUGAACUUUUUAGGUACGGCACUGAAGGUAAUCGCUGGUACCCCCGACUUCGACGACCACCAAAGGCUACAAAUGAGACAGGAUAUUCUCGUUGAUU